AAGCUUAGCUUUUACGUUCACGAGGACAUCAGACGUGUCGUGUAGGACGAAGGUUUUCGUGCGUGAACACGUUCAAAAUGUUUGCGCGGGGAGGUCAGAAACCUGGUUCUGACCCAAGACGCCUUCAGGAAGACAUCAUCGCCCUGCUCGGAGACUAAGUGGGGUUUGUUUGGCUUAAACAACCCCAAACAACACUAAGAACACUAAGAAUUUGAUCAGCAUGAAGAUCUUCAAACAGUAGGACGUUGUUUUUAUUCCGGGUGGUCGCUGUGCCCCCACUACGCUCUUUGCUUGGCCGCCGCGCCUUUUUAUGUGCAUCUGUCAUGGCCGCCGUGCCUCGAAACUUCUUUCAGCUCAUCAUUUCACAUACAUGUUAGUACAUAUUAGUUGAGGUUGAACGAAAUCCAUAGUUUGACUAAUAGCCAUUCAUCUAAUUUGAACGUUUCGCCGUCGUCGAGCAUUUAUUUCGUCGUGGACUGCCAUCCAGCAUUUUGAAUUUCCUCAUUUGACGGACACAUCAUCGCAUUUAUUUCGUCGUGGACUGCCAUCCAGCAUUUUGAAUUUCCUCAUUUGACGGACACAUCAUCGCAUUUAUUUCAUCGUGGACUGCCAUCCAGCAUUUUGAGUUUCCUGACUUUCCUGAUAUUUUGGUGGAAUGCUCCACGUCGGCUCCCGCUGAUGCACUGGAAAUCUUGUCCAUCCACGAGGACCCGCCCAUUUCAUCCAACAUUCUCCUGGCGAAUCUUGAGAAAAAUGAAUGAUCAGAAACUGUCCUUCAAUCUAAAAUACAGCAUGCAUUGUUUUUAUUUAAAAAGCAUCUUUGUACUAUGUAUGUAAAAUGGAGUCUGUAUGAGUCGCUGAAAAUCCAGUUGAAUUUAUUGCAUAGUAUUUAACCUGUGUUACCAAAGCGUGAAGGGCAUAAAGGCAAUAAAUGGUUCUAAUUAUGCCCUAACAAUUAACACAUUUUAUGAGCUAAAUUCCUCACCAUGCGUUUGUCAAGGUAAUCAAUUUAUGCAUGCGCCACGAUUGCUGUUUUUGGCAUUGCUGUUUGCAUCUGUCUGUCUGUCUCUCUCUGUCUGUCUGUCUGGGGGGGGCUUGAGUUAGGGUUGGGUAUCAUGCAGCCUAAAUAGACAACAUUUUGAUAAUUGGGCUUCUGAUUGCUGGAGGAAAUUACAUCCAUUUUAUUUUAAAGCAGAUUUAGGUUAACUUUAAUCAUGCGCCCCCAAAAUGACAACCUUGAUAAAAGUUGCUUGCCAUGUCUUAUAGAUAUUUAUUUCCCCAGCCGUUAAUUACUCAGGCUUGGAUUGUUUUGUAGCGCUUUGAAAUAAAUCAGUGGAUAUUAAUAAAACAUACUAGAACUUAAAUGACAUUUAUUAGAAUUAAAUUAGGUGGGAUUGAUUCAUUUUCACUGGUAAUUAGUGACUCCAAUGGUUAUUCAGCCCAUGGCAAAUUUCACCCAACACACAUUUUGUAAUCACAAUGAAAGUUUUAGGUUUAGACUGCCUUGUCUUGCUCUGCCAGAUUUAAUUCCAACUGGACACUCGAGUUAGAACCACUUUUUCUUUAAUGCGACGUACUUCUUUUGCGUGUCAUGUCGGGAGGCCUCCCAGCAGGGGAUUUUUUUUUUCCCACCUCUGCAGAACGCGUCACUAGAGUUGCGUCGUUCAUUAUUUACCGCAGCGUCCGUGCUGCGCGUCGGUUUCAGGACGUACGAGGGUCAGUUGGGUGCGAGAGAGAAGCUUGGGUUCUCUGGGAGGAUGCAAACCUGGCAGAGCGACGACUAUUGUAAUUAAAUGGUAACAAUUAUCAAGCACAACUAAUGUUUUUUUGCUUUAUUUUCAAAAUGACUUGAUUAGUUCUUAAUUACAGGAUAAACAAAUAUAGUUUAGCUUGCAUAUAUACUUAAAUAUGAAACCUUCUAUGGGGUGAAUUUCAGAUCUUAUUCAUUUACGUUGUCUUGAGGCAGAAACCUAAUAAAAAUAGGGCACUUUUAGCGUUGCAUAGUUCCGCUCCAGGGCAUUUUCUCCAUUGUUGUCAUGGAAGCCCUCCCCAAUUUAAACAUUUAACAGUGAUAAGUAAUGGAGCUAAAAAAAGGUUGGUGUUGACCUAGUGAUUUUGAGGAUUUGUAAAUUUCAUCCUAUAUCAGAAUGAGGAAAGUCAGGGGGAGGGAUGGGGAUGAUUUGUAGGAUGGACCUGGCCUGGAUCCACACCGAGGCAGCUGUGGUAAGAGUGUACCUUGCACACCUGGAACAGGUGAGCUACUGAUGCAAUUCUGAAUGUAUUUACUUUGUUGAAAGGAAUACAGUUGAACCAAUUGUAUCUUUCCUUUUGCUUCACAAGGUCCAGAACGAUUGAGUCAAGUGGUGAUGAAGACCAAGGACGCCGUGACCCAAAGAUGUCGUAUCUUGGACAGCUGGGACGUGAAGGAGGCGGGGCCACCUGCACCAAACCAUACAUGAUGCGUCUUUGCCAUGAGAUGUCUUCAUUUGCUAAACCUGGGAUCACCUUGACCCUUGCCACAAGAUGAGGUCAACCACCACGCCCCCAGUGUCCAAUGAUAACCCCGGAGAGACUGCUGUGUCUGCAGGCCACAAAUCGAGGUCAACCACCACGCCCCCAGUUUCCAGUGGAUGAACGAUUUCAAAUCAAGGUUGCACAUGACACUCUCGCACACUUGGAACAGUGACGCAGGAUUCGUGUGGGUCCCGAUGUCACGACGCCUCCAAACAAGAUACGGUCCCCACAGUUAAACCAUCGUCCAAACAGACAACUUAUAAAUCCUUGACUCCUACUUUGCCCAUUUUCUUUGAACAUCAGUGUUUACAAGUCACUGUCUCCAAAUCAUGCAAGAGCUCUGAAGUGUUCUUGCAUGACCCGAUAGAUUUGUAAUUUAACCAACGUUUCCAUAAUUAACUAAAUGUAGACUUCAGUUUGGAGUCGAUGAGCUGGGUUUCCGUAACACGACAGAGAACGAGGUCAGAGUCGACUCCUCGCAUGGUAAGGCUUUAGUCCUUCCCCUUCUUCUCUGUGUGUGACGGAAAUCUGACCCAGGACCCGUACUGACCUGUGCGCUGUGGUUGUGCAGUUUCCCAAACUAGACAAGGAUCCAUCUAGUUUUGUGAAUCGGCUCAACAUGGCACGCAAUAAUCAUCCUCGCUCUUGGUAAAUCAGCAAUUGCUUUUUUUUUUGGUCAUGUAUAACAGCAUGAUCACUUGUAAACACGGCAUGUCUUAAGCAUUUGAGCGAAUCAGAGUCGAGCUUUUAAAACUGUCUGUUUUUAAUCCGUGGCUGUGGGACGUCUUCAGGGUUUCACCCUCUGACCUCGAGCAAUGACAAGGAAAUAGUCAACCACCUUGUUGUGCGAGCGUUCCAGGAUAUGAUCCAGUGACGAGCCUCACCUGGAUUCACGGACACAUUCUGCCUUGAACAGUUGCAGAAUUGACAAACCCAGGCUUUUGGAGGCCACAGUUUCUGUGGGAUGCUGUGAUGGGAGGAGCCAACGUGAAACAAACUCUCCUCGAAGUUGCCUCUUGACUAAUGGACGGAUCAGGGUUUCCGUGCCACCAGGAUAUGGAUGAAGACCGGAAAGACCGAGAUGCAGCAGUGAUGGAGGUCAGCCUGUGCCUCGUCGCUAUUGGGAUGUCCUCACAUAUUCAGCCUGAAGAACCUGUGACCUGACCUCAUGUUGGAAUGACCACACAACAUGUUGAAUACCAUUCUAUGAUUACCAGUGCCUAACAGGUUACACCACUCUGUCAGCUGUUGGCCCAUUAGACCAUUGGCAAAGCAGACAACUUGAAAUGGUUGAUCCUAAUUUUCCCCAAACUCUUCAAUAUCACUUUUUACACGUCUAAAACAUGCUGGAGAUCUACUCGGGCUCUCCUGCGUGGCCCUCGGACUUAGUUAAAUCACUUCAGUUUGGAGUCGAUGAGCCGGGUUUCCUUAACACAACAGAGAACGAGGUCAGAGUCGACACAUGGUAAGGCUUUAGUCCUUCCCCUUCUUCUCUGUGUGUGUGAGGGAAAUCUGACCAUGGACCCUUACUGCUGUGUGCUGUGGUUGUGCAGUUUCCAAAACUAGACAAGGAUCCAUCUAGUUUUGUGAAUCAGUUCGCCACGGUAUGCUAUUAUUAUUAUUAUUAUUAUUAUUAUUAUUAU